UACGUAGGGGGCAAGCGUUGUCCGGAAUUAUUGGGCGUAAAGAGCGUGUAGGCGGUUCGGUAAGUCGGCUGUGAAAGUCCAGGGCUCAACCCUGGGAUGCCGGUCGAUACUGCCGGACUAGAGUUCGGAAGAGGCGAGUGGAAUUCCUGGUGUAGCGGUGAAAUGCGCAGAUAUCAGGAAGAACACCUAUGGCAAAGGCAGCACUCUGGGACGGUACUGACGCUGAGACGCGAAAGCGUGGGGAGCGAACAGG
rnacentral:rRNA from 1 species